AAAUGGUGUAUUAUGAAAGUUAGUGUUCUUUGAGAACUUGGAACUCUACAAAGUGAUGAAGACUAAGAUCAGCUGUUUUAGUCCUCAACAAAAAGAAAAAAAAAACAAAAUCCAACAUCACAGCUGCUAACGUGGGUCCUGCAGAGAACCUUACCAUUGCCUGAACUGAUUCAGCAGAGAUGGACAAAGACAGUACCACUGAUCAGCUUCAUGGCUCUAGCCUUGAAUGCUUUUACUGAUAUUAAGACUGUGCUCAGCCUCGCUAAAAAUAGCUUGUGAAACUUCUCAAGUGAAUUUCAGCCUUCUAUAAGCACAGUGGCUAUCACGCUUCCUACCAUGCUCUCUCCCAGCUAUGUAAACACUAUUUAAAAUCAAGCACUGCAACAACAACAAAAAAAGUUAAAGAUGGACAGAAAACCAAAGAAUCAUUUAGGUUGGAAAAGACCUCCAAGAUCAUUGAGUCCAACCUUUGACUGAUCACCACCUUGUCAGCUAGACCACAGCACUAAGUGUCAUGUCCAGUUGUUCCUUGAAUACCUUCAUGGAUAGCGACUCCACCACCUUCCUGGGUAGCCUGAUUCAAUGCUUAAUCAGUGUUUCUUGAAAAAAUUUUUCCUGUUGUCCAACCUGAACCUCCCUGGUGUAACUUGAGGCCAUAUGCUCUUGUCCUAUCACUGGUUGCCUGGGAGAAGAGACUGACCCCCACCUGGCUACAGCCUCCUUUCAGGUCCUUGUAGACAGUGAUAAGGUCUCCCUUGAACCUCCUUUUCACCAGGGUAAACAACCCCAGCUCCCUCAGCCACUCCUCAUACAACUUCAGCUAAACCGGCCCUCUGACCUAGCUCAGUUUAUGACUUUGAUGACUGGUGGUACUACAGAGAUUUAACAAAAGGAAGAAGAGGUGUUAAUGUUCAUCUUCAGUGCCAGUACUUCCAAAUAUCUAAGCUCAUGGCUUCCACAGCACAUACAACUGGGAUCCAACAGCUGUCUGUCACACUCACCUGUGGCUUACUAUGCACAUGAAAAUGUGUUGGUUAAAAUUAGGGGACCACACUGACAUGCACAGCACUGGCACAAUACUGCAGGUUACUUGCUUACCUGCACAUGAUUUCCUCUUUGUUCAUAACUAAUUUGGAGUAACACUUUUCUUUCUCUGCUUCCUAAGAAACACUUAGGUGAAGUACUAUGUGAGCAUUGUGCCAACUGCCUCCAUGUUUUGUAAUGACUAACACCUUUUCAGUAACAGGCCAUUUUUGUUAAAUUCUGCA